rnacentral:rRNA from 1 species
UACAGAGGGGGCAAGCGUUGUUCGGAAUUACUGGGCGUAAAGGGCGCGUAGGCGGCCUUCUAAGUCGAACGUGAAAUCCCCGGGCUCAACCCGGGAACUGCGUCCGAUACUGGAAGGCUUGAAUCCGGGAGAGGGAUGCGGAAUUCCAGGUGUAGCGGUGAAAUGCGCAGAUAUCGGGAGGAACACCCGUAGCGAAGGCGGCACUCUGGGCCGUGACUGACGCUGAGGAGCGAAAGCGUGGGGAGCAACCAGG